ensembl:antisense Gm42893 predicted gene 42893
GAUUUCCUAAGCACACGUUCAGUUAGUCUUUUAUUUUCUAAACAUGCUUCUUGCAUAUAAAACGCUCAAGCCUCAGUGCUUUAUUGACAAAGGUCACAGCUUUCAGAAAUAGCAAAAAGCAACAUUCUGAUGGUUAACACAUGUACAGUUAUACAACACAAAACAAUUUCAGACAAAAGCAGAAGAGGUAGAGCAGAGAGUUGGCGCUAUCUGUGUGUGUGGACACUUAGCACAGAGACAGGUCACCAACACCCUGCGUGGAAAUGAGCUGUCCUAUCGUGGAAACAGGUUUAUAAAUAGUAAGGGGAGGGUAUCUCUUCUAAAAAGCUAUAUAUGUCUUGUAUCCCUUUCCAAAGGCUGCCAUAGCUCUUAGGUUUAUUCUAUAGUAUUUACAACAGUCCUGUGCUGCAUAGAGAGACUUCUUUCCAGAAUAAGUGCUUUCAAGUAGUUAUAGCAAUAUUCUUCCCAUCACUGAACUGUGAUAACAGCCCUCGUUGAAGACAGCUAGCAAUAGCCAUCAUCCUGAAAGUGAGGCUAAAGAUUCUACGUCACUGUCUCAAAAUGUCUGCAACAGUGUAAAGUACUUGAAAAAAAAUGUGUAUAAAUGUUUUGCCUAGAAACCACAUGCAUGCCUGAUGCACUCUGGGUGACAAAAUUGUGAGCUGUCAUGUGGGUGCUGGGAUUAGAACCCACAUCUUCUGAAAGAGUAGCUAGUGCCGAUCAUCACUAAGCCAUCUCUUCAGCCCCUUGAAACUUAAAAUAUCACAUGAUUGUUAACAUUUUACAGAUAAGAUUUUUGGGGUCUUGGAAUUUUAAUUUCCUUUGGGUGGUUGUCAACAAGAGAACAAAAUUAGACCUCUAAGAUUAUAGAGGGUUGUUUUUGGUUUUUUGUUUCAUUUUGUUUUUUAAAACUACUUAAUUUCAAAGGAAUAGUUCUUGGAAGUUUUUAAUAGUGAGGAAGUUGUAAUUUCCAAUAGUUAACUCUCCUCCUGCUUUAUUAACACUGAUGACAAAUUUUAAUAUUAUAAAAAGUCCCAUGAACUUUUAUGGUGUUAUUACACUGAUGAUCUUUAUGGAAUGCCCAGAUGACUAAAGCACUUCAGUCAUGUAAAUACACUGUCCCAAUGAUUUUUAUAUAAAAAUUAUUUCAGAGAAAAUGAUUUACUCACUAUGAAUACUUAAUUUCACUCAAAAUCCUUAAGAGUGUCACUAGGUACAUCAACCAAACUCCAAAUGCCCAUACCCAGGACUUGACUAGCACAAGGUCGAAUACACUGUUUUGGGUUUGAUUUUUUUUGGGGGGGGGGAAGGGGGUUCGAGACAGGGUCUCUCUGUACAGCCCUGGCUGUCCUGGAACUCACUCUGUAGACCAGUUCCAGGACAGCUUGAACUACAUAAUAAUAGACCCUGUCUCAAAAAAACCAAAAAAAAAAACCAAAAAAAAAAAAACUUUGAAAGUUGUAUGAGAACUGAAUGUAAAGUCAAUGUAAGGCUCAAUGGUCACAGGUGGAAGCUCUC